GCCGCCGCCCGGAGUCCCAGGCGCGCCUACGCGGCGCUGCCUCCAGGGACUCGCCCGCGGGAGAGCGGCGCGCGCCCAGGCUCCGGGAAGUCGCGCCUGAUGGUAACUGGUGUUUGGAGAAGCUGUCACCUGUGACAAAUGGAAGAAAGUGGGCCUCAGAACUGAUAUAGGGAAACCCCUCCGAAGAGAAUCUACCUCUGCCUUUGCCAGCACCCGGAGAGCAGAGUCCCUCAUGGGUUCUCCUCACAGAGCAGCAGGCCGAGGAAGGAUGGCAGGGCGAGCUCCCUGACCACACCUCAGACAGCUCCAUUCCUCCCGGGGACUUCUGCGCCUCCUGCCCUCAGGGGUGGGGUGCCCUGAUUCCUGGUCGCCGUGGACGUCAGUGACCCACGUGACUUCCUUUCCACCACACCACCCCUGCCCUUGGGGGACAGCCUUCAUCUGUCUGACUUGUCUGUCUCCUGUGGCAUCGCCCGGGACCCCUCUGCCUCAGAAAUCCAUCGUGUCUGAGGUGCUGGCGCUGUGGACCAGGCUAUCCCCACGAUGCUCCUUCCUCCUCGUCUGGAAUAGAAGUCGUCACCUAUGGUCCUUUUUGCUAACUUAACUUUGCAUGGACACACCCACUUGCUGGGGUCACCCUGGACCGGAGCAAGUGGACUUCGGCCACCCUCUAAGACCUCGCCUUGUUCAUGGAUGGGGCUCCAGGCGCCCACCUCAAGGCUCAACGUGAGGACUGAAUGGUGCAGUCCACAGGGCACAGAACUGGCACCUCUGCACCUCAGUGUCCUGCACCUUGAGAAUUGGUGGACUCUCUCCAGGCACAGCCCAGGCUUUGCUCGCCUGCCUCCUAGGUGGUGCCUCCUUGUCCUGUACACUAGGUCAUCUUGAACCGUAGUCAUCUUGCUCUAGAAACCGCUAGGACCCGUGGACAGAUUAUAUCCACGCUUAGAGUGUGACCCUUUCCGGUGGUAUCGGUUGUCCAACCAGGAGCAAAUGCGAAGGAAGGGAUCUCUCAUUCAGUGUGGGGCUUCAGCUAAGUUACUUUGCGGGGUUAGCAGGGAGAGGGCAGGGGCAGCAUGAGCCUUUCUGCACCCCGGAACUCAGACUGAGCAGAGGCGUGGACACUUGGAGAAAUGCCUGUAGUGAUUUGUUAACACGAACAGCUGAAAGAAUGUAGUGCGAAACCCCGUGAAUAUGAUGCCCUGCUGGGAAAGCACACAACCUGCCAUGGGCUGCAUUCACCGAGGGGCUGAGUGCUCUGGGUGAUUUAUGAGCCUUUUACAAAUGGGUUUUAAAUGAGGCACUAACAGUUGCACUCACUCAGGGUGAUGGCCAGGAUGGGGGCCCUGGGCCCCAGAGGGGAUAGCGGGGAGGAGGGUCUCAGCACCCAGCUCUGGGGUCCUUGGUCCAUCUGCUCAUCCUGGGCCAGCUGCUCCCCUCAGCAAUUCUGGAUCGUUCCAUCUCACCUCUCUCAAGGAAGGAAUAACACAUGUUGACAUGAAGAUUGAAGGUCGGAUGCCUCCCGGGCCUCAGAAACCACCAGAAGUGGAGGCAUUAGCACUGCCCCUGCUUCUACUUUUCUCUCUCUCCACAAUGGUUUAAUAGUGAAGUUAGAGUUUGCUAGACUUGCUUCUUUUUCUUUCCCUGUUGUACAUUUUAGUCUGGAAAGUGAGGAUGGUGUAAUAAGUUGAAAAGGCUCCCAGAGAUAGGGCCACACUCGAAUUCCUGGAGCCAUUGGAUGCAAUCUUAUUUGGAAGAAGGACAUUAUAGGUGUGGUUGGGUUUUGUUUUGUUUUGUUCUCCUUGGUAUUGUGAAUUGAACCCAGGACCUUUGUACUGAGCUCCAUCCCCAGCCAGCUUCCUAAAGGUCUUGCUAAAUUGCUGAGUUGCCCAGGCUGGGCUCAAAUUUGCAAUCCUCCUGCCUCAGCCUCCCAGCAUGCUGGGAUUGCUGCCAUGCACCACCACCCCUGACCUUCAGGUAGAUCUUGAGGUGUGGAGACAAUCCUGGAUUAUCUGGUGGACCUAAGUGUCAAUACAGGCAUCCUCCUAAGUGGGAGGGGGUGGGAGACCGGGCUGAUACUCAGAGAGGAAGGUGAUGUGAGCAUGGAGGCCCAGCUUGAGAGGGUGCAAACGUAGCCAAGAAUGCCAAGGGUGCAGUAGCUGCUGGAAGCUAGAAGAGGAAGGGAAUGCUUCUCCCACAGAACCACAGGAGGGAACGCAGCUGCCGGUACCUCCAUGCCAGACCUCCAGGCUCCAGGACCAUGAGAAAAUAACAGUUUAAGUCUCCAACUUGUAUUUUGGUGCACCAGCUCCAGGAAGCUAACAGGUGACUGAGGGGUUCUAGCACCAGUUCCAGAAAAGCCACUGGCAGUGGACCACGCACAGCCCCUUGCAGCUCAGCCUGAGGCUAGGCCUGCAGGGAGCUUCCAUGCUGCAGUCCCAGGGUUGCCAGCGGGAGGUAGGAAGGGAAAGGUGGCAAAGCAGGAAGGACGCCAACCCGAGGUGGGGCACGGCCCGCUGGCUACCGCCUCUCGGGACACUGGGCUGCAUGGUUAUGCGGGACAUGGCACAGGCAGGUGGGGGCAGCAGCUUAUCCGCUAGCUCCCUCUGUCUCUCCCGGGCAAGGCUGCACUGGCCUUCCAGGCUGCACAUUCCAGAAGUUGCUAGAAGCUUCUUGGACCAGGUCAGCCCAGCGCUGGUACCAGAGCUACUGCAGCUUCACCUUCAGAAGCCCCCGGGAGGCUUCGAUGCAAGAAGGAGCAGGACCUCCCUGGGGCCUUUCCCGAGGGGAAGCAGGUAAGCAGUGGAGGUCAGGAACAUCAGGAGCUCACACUCGCUCUGAGCUGGUGGACUCUCAGAGAGGGAGCCAAGGGCCCGUUUAUCCCUGUGAGAUGACAAUCCCUGGGACCAACCUGUGUGCUGUGCUUCCGUUCCGGUGUUUGUCCACUCUUUCCUACUUGUUAGCUCUUUCUUCCACCCCUCUGCCUGUCACCCAUGACCACUGUCCCUUCCUGGAAUGUCCUUGGGGACUGCUUCCAGGCCCCCUCUGAUAUCAAAGUCCACAGAUACUCAAGUCCCUGAUAUAAAAUUUGCACCUAAGCUAGGCACAUCCUCCUGGAUACUUUAAACCAUCUCUAGCUUUCUUAUAAUACCAACUACGACAUAAAUGCUAUAGAAAUAGUUGCUAGGGAAUAAGGACAAGGGAACAGGUUUGUACACAUUCAUCACAGAUGCACUUUUUUCCCCAAACAGUUUUGAUCUGCAGUUGGUUGAGUCCACAGAUGUGAGACCCACUGUCUAGCGGACUAACUGCACCCUCUCCCACCUUAUCUGACUCAACCUUGCUCUCUCUCAGGUUCAAGACUUCUCACCUAUUCCUGCAUUUGGUUAGAAUAGUGAAGAGAAAUCCCCUUUAGUUAUACCACAUGGGAGUGGGGAAUUGGGAAGAAGAAAGAAAAAGAAUCUUUGAGAAAUAUUAUUCAGCUUUCACUUCAUCAACAGAAGAAAAAGAUUUCUGGAAGAGACUUCAAUCAGAUUGAAAGUAGAAUUUCCCUGAAUGAAGGGGGCUGCAGCUCAUACACAUGUGACCCACAGGGCUCAGCUGGGCCACAGAGCCAGGUUUAAGGGGACAGGCUCUUUCCCAAGAGGAGGCUUGCUAGCUCUGGGACUUGGGGGAGGGCUACUACAAGUGUGCCUGAGAAAUUAUGUCCAAUUGGCCAUCACCAUAGCUGGUUUGUUUUGUUGUUUGGUACCAGGCAUCGAACUCGGGACCUUGUGCUUGCAAGACAGGCAACAGAACCACUGAGUCCAUAGCUGUUUUAAUAGUACGUCUUUUUGCAAAUGAAAACAAUGCUGAGAUUCCACUUCACCCCAGAAAGAAUGGCUGCUAUCAUGAAAUCAACCAAUAACAAAUGCUGGUGGGGCUGUGGGGAAAGAGGAACCCUGCUCCGCUGCUGGUGGGAGUGUAGACUGGUGCAACCAC